CACGUAGGGGGCGAGCGUUGUCCGGAUUUAUUGGGCGUAAAGAGCUCGUAGGCGGUUUCGUAAGUCGGAUGUGAAAACUCCAGCUCAACUUGGAGACGCCAUUCGAUACUGCGGUGCUUGAGGACUGGAGAGGAGACUGGAAUUCAUGGUGUAGCAGUGAAAUGCGUAGAGAUCAUGAGGAAGACCAGUGGCGAAGGCGGGUCUCUGGACAGUUCCUGACACUGAGCACGAAGGCCAGGGGAGCAAACGGG
rnacentral:rRNA from 1 species